rnacentral:rRNA from 1 species
UACGUAGGUGGCAAGCGUUGUCCGGAUUUACUGGGCGUAAAGAGCGCGCAGGCGGUCGGAUAAGUCGAAUGUGAAAGCCCCCGGCUCAACCGGGGAAGUGGAUCCGAGACGCCCCGUCUGGAGGGACGUAGGGGGACCUGGAACUUCCGGUGGAGCGGUGAAAUGCGUUGAGAUCGGAAGGAACGCCCGUGGCGAAAGCGAGGUCCUGGACGUCUGCUGACGCUGAGACGCGAAAGCUAGGGGAGCGAACGGG